GGUUCAGUGGCGUAACGGUAUCGCACUCCGCAUUCCUAUGUAGCUCACAGUAUGCUUUUACGGAGAGUUCGGAGUUUGAGUCUCUGCUGAGCCA